UACAGAGGUCCCAAGCGUUGUUCGGAUUCACUGGGCGUAAAGGGUGCGUAGGCGGUUGGAUAAGUCUGAUGUGAAAUCUUCGAGCUCAACUCGGAAACUGCAUCGGAAACUAUUCGGCUAGAGGAUUGGAGGGGAGACUGGAAUUCUCGGUGUAGCAGUGAAAUGCGUAGAUAUCGAGAGGAACACCAGUGGCGAAGGCGAGUCUCUGGACAAUUCCUGACGCUGAGGCACGAAAGCUAGGGGAGCAAACAGG
rnacentral:rRNA from 1 species